ensembl:lncRNA
UGGAAGUUGGUCAAAAGGAGAAGCUCCUUUGGACCAGAUUCGGUGCUCUUCAGCGAGUUUCAGGACCUGUAAAUGCCACUCAAUGAACAUGAUGGACAGUUAAAGGCAAAGAGCUAAUGGCAGAGGAAUGAAUGGAGCCACCUAACUACUUCACUGCAUCAGUCAGGAUAACUGAUUUCUUAUUUAAGGAGUCUCCACAGAGGAAAUGCUGUACCUACUACCUAUGCUGUCUUUAUGAGGUAAACAGGUGUAAGCCCAGUAAAGUCAAGAUACCAGGAAAAUACUCUUCAUUGUCACUUUCUCUUAAUUCAAUUUGUAUCUCUUUUUGGACCUAAAAUAAUAAUGUCUAACUCAAAACUCAUUUCAGCUUUUAUUUCAGUAAUAGACAAACUAGAGAUACAAACAUAAAAUAGAGAUGCAAACUGUUUUAAGAACAGAUGAAAAAUGUAUGGCUGGAGUGAGAAACUUUGUGAGAAAAUAAGAGUUAUUGCAAACACAUGGCUUGUUACACUGCUUUCUGUGAGAUCUCACCUGGGA